rnacentral:tRNA from 3 species
CCGGGAUAGCUCAGUUGGUAGAGCAGAGGAUUGAAAA